rnacentral:rRNA from 1 species
ACCAUACAUGAGAUCGCGUACUUGGGACCGAAACAAGCCGUGAGGAAACUAUAUUACAGGAACUCGUCAGGCCCA